rnacentral:rRNA from 1 species
UACGGGGGGGGCAAGCGUUGUUCGGAAUUACCGGGCGUAAAGGGCGCGUAGGCGGUCAGAAAAGUCAGAUGUGAAAUUCCGGGGCUCAACCCCGGAGCUGCAUUUGAAACUUUCCGACUUGAGGUUGACAAGGGAAAGCGGAAUUCCACGUGUAGCGGUGAAAUGCGUAGAUAUGUGGAAGAACACCGGUGGUGAAGACGGUUGUCUGUGUCAAACCUGACGCUGAGGCGCGAAAGCUAGGGGAGCAAACAGG